AAUUUUCCAACAUUGCAUGUAAGAGAAUUAAAGCUCUAAUAUAGGGCCUUAAACCCAUCAUGAUGAUGCUCUAAGUUCUGAACAGACUGGUUUUGAAGCCUGAACGUGUUGUUGGGUUCAAUCUCAAUUCGCUACAGAGAUAAAAGGGAGCACAAGGAAUUGUAGCUUGGCUCUGAAACCCAGAAUCAUCACAGCUAUGCAACCAGAUCUGUGACUGGAAUUCAAUGUUAUGCAAAUAUUAGUUUUCAGCUUGGUAUGGAAACAUUGACUUUAUCAUAAGAGCUCAGCCUAGCAAUUAAAGCCGUAACAGGCGCAUAGCUGACAAAGGGAGCUGGAUUGGCUCAUUAUAAAAGCAAUUAAGCGAAUCGAAAAACAUUAUCUUUGCUCGAAAUGAGAGCUACUUGUACAAAUUUACAAAGAAGACAGAUCCUGAUGUGCAUGGGUCUACUCAGAAGAAAAAGAAUUAAACGCAAAAGAGAGAGAGAAUGCGCCUCUCAAGAUUCAUGAAGAAAAGUCCUACUUUUACAUUCUAAGUAGUCACCAGUCAUAUGACUAGAAGAGAAAGAGGUAAUUGUCAAUAUUGGUCCUCAAAGUGCCUCAAACGAUUUCCUUCCGUGAACUUUUGGGUAUGGCUGAAGAUUAAAUGGAGAUCUUAGGAGACUCAUUAGUAUCAUAUCUCACUUAAGUUUCCUAGCUUCAAUUCCAGCAGAUCCAUUUACAAAAGCUCAUUGAGAAAGGAGAGAAAGUAUCUAUACCAAUGGAACAACCUUUGUAUUUGUGCACGAGUGAUCCCAAGCCUUGGGAGACCAUAUUGACAGAAAAGCAUCUAAAUGUUUUUUUUUUGGAAUAAAGAAAAGCAUCUAAAUGGUAUCGGCAUAUGAUAUGCUAAACAAGUGCUCGAGUCAUAGACACUAGGAGUAGAAAUGGGUGUGGGAGCCAGAGUGGGGGACAUCGGGAGCAUUACAAGAAAGGGAACUAAAAAUUUAUCCUUAAACCACCAUAGUCUUUCGAUUGCAAGCCACAUAAUCAACAUAUAAGGGUAUACACACAUGCACAUACACUUUAAUAUAGUCGUAACACUAGUAAUCUUUAUACACAACAAAAAACUAUAGUAAUCUUUCUAAGUUUUUUGAAGUAAAAGUUAACUUAUGUAUAUAUGUAAAGAUUUGUGAACAGAGUCAAGAAUAUCAUCCCACGUGUCAAGUGCUUGGGUGCUAGUGCAAACCAACACCGGAAAUUAUAGAUCCGAAACCGAUUGUGCAACAAUGAUCCGGCUUCCUUGAUCUAAAUCAAGGGAAUAAGAGAAAGGGAUUUUCAGCCCCAAACUCUUGCCACUACACCAGUAGACGGCCUUCCAACUCAAGGUAGGCACAAUACACAAGGAUGGGAA
rnacentral:lncRNA from 1 species